rnacentral:rRNA from 1 species
UAAGGGAUAUUGGUCAAUGGACGCAAGUCUGAACCAGCCAUGCCGCGUGAAGGAUGAAGGUCCUCUGGGUUGUAAACUUCUUUUAUCUGGGACGAAAACGGGAUUUUUAUCUCAAUUGACGGUACCAGAGGAAUAAGCACCGGCUAACUCCGUGCCAGCAGCCGCGGUAAUACGGAGGGUGCGAGCGUUAUCCGGCUUUACUGGGUUUAAAGGGUGCGUAGGUGGGCUUAUAAGUCAGUGGUGAAAUCUCCGAGCUUAACUUGGAAACUGCCGUUGAUACUAUAGGUCUUGAAUUAUCUGGAGGUAAGCGGAAUAUGUCAUGUAGCGGUGAAAUGCUUAGAUAUGACAUAGAACACCAAUUGCGAAGGCAGCUUACUACAUAUAAAUUGACGCUGAGGCACGAAAGCGUGGGGAUCAAACA